rnacentral:piRNA from 1 species
UCUGACAUCGUUAGCUCUGUGGCUC